AUUGAACGCUGGCGGCAGGCUUAACACAUGCAAGUCGAGCGGAAAGAGGUAGCUUGCUACCGAUCUUAGCGGCGGACGGGUGAGUAAUGCUUAGGAAUCUGCCUAUUAGUGGGGGACAACAUUUCGAAAGGAAUGCUAAUACCGCAUACGUCCUACGGGAGAAAGCAGGGGAUCUUCGGACCUUGCGCUAAUAGAUGAGCCUAAGUCGGAUUAGCUAGUUGGUGGGGUAAAGGCCUACCAAGGCGACGAUCCGUAGCGGGUCUGAGAGGAUGAUCCGCCACACUGGGACAGAGACACGACGCAGACUCCCACGGGAGGGAGCAGUGGGGAAUAUUGGACAAGGGGCGCAAGACUGAUCCAGCCAUUCCGCGUGUGUGAAGAAGGCCUUAUGGUUGUAAAGCACUUUAAGCGAGGAGGAGGCUACGUUAGUUAAUACCUAGAGAUAGUGGACGUGACUCGCAGAAUAAGCACCGGCUAACUCUGUGCCAGCCGCCGCAGUAAGAC
rnacentral:rRNA from 1 species